AUGACCUAUUGGCUUCAGCACCAUGACCGCCUCGGGAAUGGUAGUCUUCCCCCUGGAACGGGCAUUACCCGGUGGACCCUUCCGGCGUGGCCGAUGCUUUUCACGGGAGAGCAUGUGGCCCCGCUGGAAGAGUAUAAUGAUGUCGACAAAGGUGUGUUGUUUCAUAUUGUAGCAUGUGGGAGGAGUCCUCACUUGUCAUGCACAAUGGGUAUUUCAGCGCCCUCUCCACCUACUGACUGUGCAGAAUGUCGGUGCAUCUCUGGCCACUCUUCUCUGCCGAUGAUAGGUUUCGAUAGAACAGUGGAUGGUGCGUCGAGACGUCUCUUCACGGCAUCGCCUUCGGUCAGCAUUUGCUAA
rnacentral:rRNA from 1 species